GACGAACCGUGCGAACGUUAUUCGGAAUCACUGGGCUUAAAGCGCGUGUAGGCGGGACGGCACGUCGGUCGCUGAAAUCCCCCGGCUCAACCGGGGAACGGGCGCCGAUACGACCGCCCUGGAGGGGCGUAGGGGGACCUGGAACUUCCGGUGGAGCGGUGAAAUGCGUUGAGAUCGGAAGGAACGCCCGUGGCGAAAGCGAGGUCCUGGACGCUUACUGACGCUGAGACGCGAAAGCCAGGGGAGAGCGAACGGG
rnacentral:rRNA from 1 species